AAACUACUCUUCAAAGACUUCCUUCCGGGCAUCGUGAAGCCCGCGUGCUCAGCAUUCGGAGAGGCAGCCGCGCUCGCCUUCAUCCAGGACAACAAAACCGCCGUUUCUGAAAAGAAAGGAAGCGGCUUCUGGGGUUCCCAGGCGCGCGCCUGAGAGCGAGGCCAGGAGCCGCGUCGCCACGCCCAGAACCCCGAGCCCGCCCCCGCGCCACCCGCCUGGCCUUGUGGCUCCGGCUGCGCACGCGACGCCCCUUCCAGGCCCAGCUCCUGCGCCCUAUUUGGUCAUUGGGGGCAAGUGGCGGGAGGGGAGAAGUGCGCCGCCUGAGGGGACACGGAGCCGGCGCGGGCUGCGCAGAUGAGCCGCUCUCGCUGCUGCCUUCUCGGCUGGGAACCCACGAGACUCGGCGCGCGAGGUGCCUGGGCUGCGCUGCUCCUGGGGACGCUGCAGGUGCUGGCGCUGCUGGGGGCCGCCCUGGAGUACAGCGCAACCUCGGCGACAUCUGCAAACAUAGAGAAUUCUGUGCCUCCACACAACUCUAGUGCUAUCUUAACAGAGACUCUCCAACAUGUGCCUUCUGACCAUGCAAAUGAAACUUCCAACAGCACUAUGAGACUACCAACUCCAGCUGCCUCAGUCCCCAGCAAUUAGACAGUCACCACCAUGAAACCCACAGCAGCAACUAAUAGGACAACACCAAGGAUGGUCUCAACAAAUAGGACUGCCAUCUUCAAGUCUACACCCAAAACAAACACAUCUCAGAUAGCAACAUCCACGAUGACCAUAGCCCACAAUAGUUCAGUGACAUCUGUUUCUUCAUCAGUAACAAUUACAGCAACUAUGCAUUCUGAAGCAAAGAAAGGAUCCAAAUUUGAUACUGGGAGCUUUGUUGGCGGUAUUGUAUUAAUGCUGGGAGUUUUAUCUAUUCUUUACAUUGGAUGCAAAAUGUACUACUCAAGAAGAGGCAUUCCGUAUAGAACCAUAGAUGAACAUGACGCCAUCAUUUAAGGAAAUCAUGGACCAAAGAAGGAAGACAGAUUGAUGCAGCCCUAUCAAUUAAUUUUGGUUUAUUAAUAGUUUAAAACAAUAUUCUCUUCUUGAAAACAGCAUAAACAGGCCAUGCAUAAAAUGUACAGUGUAUUAUGUAAAUGUGUAAAGAUUCUUCAAGGUAACAAGGGUUUGGGUUUUGUAAUAAACAUCUAGAGCUUAAAAAAAAA